AUUACACUUGGCCGGGUGGUCUUUCUUUCCAUAUGCAGGCCAUUGUUCUAACCCAGAACAAGCUGACUUCUGCAAGUUGCUAUCCUGAACUUUGCCCCAGGUUUUUCCAUGGAUCCUAAUUCCCAGCUCCUGGCAGCUACCUUGAGUCAGCCAUGGUGAUGGAGCCCUGCAGCUCCUCUGCCGGAAUGGAAGCAGGGGGCACCUGAGGUCAUCCUGUACACUGUCUUGGCCACAGUGUGGUGCCUUCUCUGGUGACCACCAAAUGACAGGCUCAAACAUCUCACUUGGGAGAGGUGCUGGGCACAGCCUUGGUUUCAGAGGGAAGAAGGGGCAAUUGGGAGGCAAAAGAGGCAGAAUCUGUACCUCUCUGUGAUCUCUUCUCCUUAACUGUCUCCAGGAGACCAGUGGCCUCUCAUUGUCUGAAAGCACUUAUUGAGGGCCUAUCCUCAAGGAGGAAUCAUGCUUAGAUUAGCAGUGCCUUACAAUUUUCUGGGUUGAUGGCAGCCCUGAAAAUCUAGAUGUGCUGUCCCCAUUGAAGGAUCCACAGUAACUCACAUGGUGACUUCAACCUUACCCAUAUUAAGCUGCCAGACCAAGUGAUGCUUCCAGACCUUCCUCAGCAUUCCCCCUCCCUAAGAGAAGGAGCCGGCUCCUCCGGGGGCUGGUGUGGCUGCCAGCCAAGAGGCUUGGGGCAGGCCUGGAGCAUGCAGCUGGCACCUGCCCAUAAGAUCCCCAAGGAACACUCUCCUCCCCCACUCCCAUAGCCCCAUUCAGAUGGCCCCUGGGCUACAGUGAGACAGAGCUCACUUUUCUCCAUUUGCAGAGAAAACUUUAAGCUGGAAAGCCAAUCACCUCCCCUUCAAUUGUAACCUCCAAGAUCCACCAUCCGGAUCCGUUUUUUACACUAAAAACUAACCAGGAAUUUUUUCCAGGCAGGACUAAACAAUAUAGUUUAGUAGUUUAUAGUAGUUAUAGUUUAUAGUAGUAGUUAUAGUUUACAGUAGGGGUUGAUCUGGGGCUGGAUAAGGGAAUUUGAGGGAUGAGGCCUGGGCUGGAAUUCUGGGAGAAGUUGCUGAGGUCAAGAGAUGUAUAAGAAAGAACAACUUGAUGUGAGUAAGAUAGGACAGGGGGACAUGAAGGGGAGGGGCUGAAUCAAUCUGCCUCUCUCAUCUAAUUAGCAACAUGCAAAUAAUAUGCAAAUAACACCCUCUUUGUUUAGAGACCACAGGGCUGGUGCUUUUGGGAAGUGGAUUUCAGAGGGACCUCCAGGCAGCAUCUUUGAGACCCAAGACAUGGGACACCCAGGCUCAGAAGAGAGGCCAGAGUGUGUCCAUCUAGUUCUAGCUUAUUCUCUGGGUGGGCUCACUUUCUGUGAGCCUCAGUUUCCCUAUGUGUGAAGUGACAAGACUGUACUGGAUGAUCUCUUAAGGCUUCUUUCCAGUACUGACAGUCUGGGGUUCUCUGAUGUAGGGCCCAGUGCCAGUACAGGGUGGAGGGGUUGAUUCCAUUCUGGAGUAAGCCAAGUCCCUUGGCUCUCUUGCUGCUGCUGCCCAUCUCAGCAGUUCUGUCAUGCCAUUCCCCAUACCCCCACGCACCUGCCGUCCCAAACUUAGGCAGUUUUCUGAAGGCAGUGUUUGUUCCCUCCCACUCCAUGCCUUUACUCACUGUUUCCUCUGCCUGGAAUGCCCUUCCUGCUUUAGCCUCUCACUUGGCUAACUCCUUCUCCAACUCCAACAGCCUUACCCACCUUACCCCUCCACUCCCCAGUUAUGGCAAGGUAUCUCCUUUCUAGGUGCCCCCAUGCACUAUCUGUUUUCUUCCCUCUAUUCCUGCUAGAUAGUGAACUCCUGGGUUUUGCUGAAGACUGAAUCUCCAGUAUAGGCAUAUUAGUUUCCCUAGUCUGCUGUAAAAAAUUGCCACACCUUGGAGACUUAAAACAACAGAAAUUUAUUCUUUCACAUUUCUGGAGGCCAGAGGUUCAACAUCAGUUUCACCAGGCCAAAAUCAAAGUGUUAGCAGGACUAUGCUCUUUCUGGAGGCUCUCAGGGAGAAUCUGUUCCUUUUUCAGCUUCUAGUGGCUGCUAGCAUUCCAUUGCUUGUGGCCCUGUCACUCCAAUUUCUGCCUCCAUCUUCACAUUGCUUUCUACUCUUCUGUGUGUAUAAUCUACCUCCCCCCCGAUUUUAUUUGCUUCUGCCUUAUAAGGACACUUGUGGUGACAUUUAGGGCUCACCCAGAUGAUCCAGAAUAAUCUCCUCAUCUCAGGAUUCUUAUCUUAAUCAUAUCUGCAGAGACCCCUUUUUCCAGAUAACGUAACAAUCACAGGUUCUGGGGAUUAGGACGUGGACAUAUCUUUGGCAGACAUUAUCGGACUACCAAAAUAAGCAAAGACAUUUUUAAAUUUACCAUUUUUUAAGUAUCAGGUGCCAAACACUGUACAUACAUUUUUCUCAUCCCAUUUGUCUCGCAAUAACCCCGAAAGGUAGAUAUUAAUGCCUCCAUUCUACAGAUGAGGAAACUGGCUCAGGGAGGUUAAGUCACCUGCCUAAGGUCACAUAGAUGGUAAAUGACAAUGCUGGGAUAUGAAACCGGAUGAGCUUGGCUCCAAAGCCCGCAUGCUUUUUGCCUCACCAACAGCCUCUGAGCCUACCCCAGGCCCUGACACAGAUUUCUUGCCUGAAUGGGUGUGCAGAAAGAGAUAGGUGGACAAGAGAAGGGAAGAUGAGUCCCCGCCUUCCUAGUGACACUGACUCAAGGUUUCUUCUGCCAAAGCUCCCUCGCUACCCUUCCAAUCCUCCUCCACCAACCCUGACCCCUUGUUUCAGAACUCUGGAAUCCCCCCAGUUUGCAGCCCCUUGCCAACUACUACUGCCCAGAAAAGUGGUGCAAUGCCUGGACUUCAGGCAGGAGCUAUCAAAUCACAUAACCAGAGGGACGUCUGGAGGUCACCUCAUUUAGUCCCCUGCCCACAUCCAGGCCUGCUCAUAAGAACAAGGGCAGAAAGGGUCAGGGUAGUGGUCAGUAAUAGAAGGGUGAAGUAUCCAUCUUUUCCUUCAGCUAGCUUUUCUCCUUUCUCACUUCUUACAUAAUUUAUAUUGGGAAGUUCUCACUCAGUCUAACCUUCCAGAUGUGAUGCAUAAAGAAGGCUGGUCAGAGUCUUAGAACCUAUGACCCAGUCCUAGAUUCUCCAGAAAAUAAAACGAGAUUUUUGGCUAAGUCCCUUCA